ACAACAUUCAUUUGAAAGAUUUGAUGUUUAUACAGAAAACAAAUAAGUAUAACUUGGUUCUUUAUCAGAACCAGAAAUAUUGCUUACAAAGGUGAUGGCAAUUGUCAUUGAUAAAUGGGUAGGGGCUAUCAACCAAGCACCAAAAUUUGGUUGACUACCCGCAAAGCUAAAAGUUAACUCAAUUUACAGCAUGGGGCUCUUGCAGUGAUAUUUGUUCAGACUAUCUGGUGGAAGUAUGAACAUGUGAAGCUACAAAGCAAAAGAAAUCUCAACUGUAAACCUCUCUUCGAAACACAUGUAGCCCUCAAUGUAGUAGAAAAAGCAAUGGACAUAAUUUCUCGAUACCGACUGCAGGGCAGGUGUCCUGAAUGUAGUAGGCCAGGGGAGAGCUACAUACAUCAAGCAUGAACUAUUACUGAUAAGAAUUCUGACCACCCAUCGAUUCCAUAGCACCUACAAUUCUGGAGUGCAGAAAAAAAAAGUAUUAGUUAGAAACAAUGAAGUACAUAACAUAUUGCAAGUUUAAAAAUCAAGUAUAUCUUCCCAUGAUCCCCCUUUCACCAGUCAAAUAAUGUGGAGUAUAAUGAAAAGGGAACUAAUCUUAUAUGUUCUUUAUUAAGAUUAUUUACCUCUGCUUAUUUGUCAGUUAUGUUCUAAGAGUCGUCCAUCUUAGGGUCUUGCUUCUUCAUCUUCCUCCACGUAUAUUUGGUGAUAAGAUCUAUCUUCUCCAGCUUGUUCCUUUUCAGGACCUUCCCCUUACCCCUUCUCAGAAUCAUCUCUUGUGGUACCCCUGGAAUUAGUAUGCAACACUGAUAAAUUUAGGCUAAUGUAAAAAUAUAUGUGGUACUUCAGACCUUGUACAGAAAAAAGAAUAAGACAUAGUUUGUAGAACAUGCCAUGUAUAUUUUUAUGGUUCAAAAGAAGACACUCCACUACCAUUAUCAUUUAUCAAUGUCUACAUCUUCUUUUCUCUCACAAACCCACAAGCAACAAAGUAAGCACACUAACACCAAAGAUAUUUAUGUAAAAAGAGUUAUUAGCACAAAAAAUCCACUAUAAACCGAACCGAGCACAACCGAGUAAUUCAUAACAGCAGGUGAACAUCUAAAAUUUUAUCAAGAUAUCUCAAUGUAGUAGCCAAGGGGGCCUUUUCUGUCUUAAAAUUUCGUGAAGCAUGUUGAGCUUCCUAACACUAAUAAUCAGUAAACAAAGCCAUUUAGAUUUGUCGCUAAACAAGAAAACGUAGCAUGUGAUUCCCACCUAUAGAAAGUUUAUGUACUUGGAAUUUCCAUCGCUAUCUCAUACAUUGUUAGCAUUGAAGGGAUCUAGAUGAUAGAUAAUAAAAUCAGACUAAAAUCUAAUGGUAAAUAGUAAACUCUUACUUCCUAACAUUGGUAGCUCCAUGAUGCUACCGGUGGGUUCAAGCAUCCAGUGCUGUCACGGCAGUUUCUGAGCUCAACUUCCCGACACGGUCAAUGGCAAAGGAACAAGCAUCGAGUUGCCCACUUUUACAAUUUAUAUGGAAAAAUAUACGGAGAUGCAAGCCUGCCCAAGCAACCUUUUCCCAGAGUGUGUCCCUCUCCUGAGUUGAACAAUUAUUCACACCAUCUAAUUAUAAUGAAAAGAGGCCCCCGAUGUUUUAAUCAAUGCGUUGCAGCUCGGACCUUCCCACUUUUAAUGGCAAUUUUAAGAUCCUCAGGAAUGGGGGGAGGUGUAACCUCAGGGACAGGAGGAAUUGUUCCUUCCUCAACCUGCAAAAAAUAUAUGUAACCCCAAGCUUUGAUUCCCACUAACACAUUCCCAAAAAAAAACUUGCAAAAGACAUCAGCCGUGAUGUACCAACUUCUGAAAUGUCUCCUUAAUCCUUUCAAGAGUUUCCAAUGAAGUAGGAACAACAGCCCCAGCAUCCCUUAGUGCCUGAUUCUUAGCUUGUGCAGAUUCCACCUCACCACCAUCGCACACUGUUAUACCCAAAAAAAACACAUCUGCGCAUAUUUAUUCAGCUCACCGGAACUCCAGGAAAAUUUGUUUACAACUUACAGCAUGGCCAAACUGGACUCGGAUUUCAACAGACGUGCACACGUCCUACUAACAGGUCCAUGUAACUGAACUAAUUAAUCAAAAAGCAACCUAAUGGGCAUUACCUCAAACAGAUUGUGUN
rnacentral:lncRNA from 1 species